rnacentral:rRNA from 1 species
GACGAACGCUGGCGGCGUGCCUAAUACAUGCAAGUCGAACGCUUCUUUCCUCCCGAGUGCUUGCACUCAAUUGGAAAGAGGAGUGGCGGACGGGUGAGCAACACGUGGGUAACCUACCCAUCAGAGGGGGAUAACACUUGGAAACAGGUGCUAAUACCGCAUAACAGUUUAUGCCGCAUGGCAUAAGAGUGAAAGGCGCUUUCGGGUGUCGCUGAUGGAUGGACCCGCGGUGCAUUAGCUAGUUGGUGAGGUAACGGCUCACCAAGGCCACGAUGCAUAGCCGACCUGAGAGGGUGAUCGGCCACACUGGGACUGAGACACGGCCCAGACUCCUACGGGAGGCAGCAGUAGGGAAUCUUCGGCAAUGGACGAAAGUCUGACCGAGCAACGCCGCGUGAGUGAAGAAGGUGUUCGGAUCGUAAAACUCUGUUGUUAGAGAAGAACAAGGACGUUAGUAACUGAACGUCCCCUGACGGUAUCUAACCAGAAAGCCACGGCUAACUACGUG